rnacentral:rRNA from 1 species
AUUGAACGCUGGCGGCAGGCCUAAUACAUGCAAGUCGAACGAGUGGCGGACGGGUGAGUAAUGUCUGGGAAACUGCAUGAUGGAGGGGGAUAAAUACUGGAAACGGUAGCUAAUACCGCAUCCCAUCGGAUGUGCCCAGAUGGGAGUAGCUAGUAGGUGGGUGAAAGGCUCACCUAGGCGCCGAUCCCUAGCUGGUCUGAGAGGUUGACCAGACACACGUGAACUGGGACACGGUCCAGACUCCUACGGGAGGCAGCAGGGGGGAAUAUUGCGCAAUGGGCGCAAGCCUGAUGCUGCCAUGCCGCGUGUAUGAAGAAGGCCUUCGGUUUGUAAAGUACUUUCAGCGGGGAGGCGGUACCCGCAGAAGAAGCACCGGCUAACUCCGUGCCAGCAGCCGCGGUAAUUC